rnacentral:siRNA from 1 species
UCUGUUGUCGCUUUCUGUAGUCGU